GCCAAGAGGAAGCAAGAAAGAGAGAGUGAGAGAGAUGGAGUUCACAGUCGGCAGCAUCCCGGAGGAGAAGGUGUUCGACGGGCUCGUCUUCCCCAAGACCCUUCUCCCGCCGGCCAACCUCGAGAACCCGAACGUCGACGACUGCGUUCGCCUAGUCGAGCAGAACCGCGACCUCCUCACCGACCUCCUCAAGAACAACAAGUCCAUCCUCCUGAAAGGAUUCAACCUCUCCACCGCCGAGGACUUCUCCCGUGUCAUCCACGCCACCGGUUGGGAAGAGUUCGGCUACCGCGGUGCAGUGGUCCGCACAUCGCCGGCCAAGCGCGUCUUCACCGCCAACGAGGCCCCUCUCGACUGGAACAUCGGGUUCCACCAUGAGAUGGCCCUGAUAAAAGUGUACCCGAGAAAGCUAAUCUUCUUCUGCGAGACUCCUUCACCCGAAGGUGGCCAGACCACCGCAAUCCGCAGUGAUGUGGUGGUGCAGAAGCUGGAGGAGCUGGCCCCCGAUGUCGUCGAGAAGCUGGAGACACAGGGGAUCAGGUUCUUCCACAUCCGCCAGAAAGAAACAUGGCAGCGUCUGGUCGGCGAGAAGGACCCUGUGGAUGCUGCGAAAGCGGCAAUUGAGAGGCUGCACUACUGCACAUCAUUCAAGUACAACGAGGAAGACGAAAGCGCGGAGCUCCACUACGGCCCAAUCUUCCCGAUCCGGGAGCUGGACGGCGUGAGAGUGAUGUUCAACACGAUUGUCGGUUAUGUGACGGAGCAGAUGCCGCUGAACGCCACCUACGGGGAUGGGACCCCAAUACCCCCUGAGGUGCUGGAGACGUACAAUAACAUCUUGGCGGAGAACUGUGUCGACAUCAACUGGGACAAGGGUGACAUCUUGUUCAUCAACAACUAUCAUUGCCAGCAUGCUCGCCGCGCUGGCAAGCCGCCAAGGAUGGUGUUGGUUUCUGUGGCAAAUUAAGGUUUGGAUGUCCAUACCGUUGAUUUGGGUCCUUCGUUUGAUGGAGUAGUGAUUGAUGAGCGUUUUCCAUCCCAGCCAAGAACGUCGGCUUUCAUUGAUUGAACUCUUUUCCUCUUUGGUUGGUAUUUUAUUUUGAUUAUCUGCUGGAAGAAGAAUAAAAGUGAGGUGAUGUAUAGGAUUUUAGAACUUUAUUAGUGUGCAUCUAAAUAUGUAGUGAAUUCUACGAGUCCAUGCGGAUAUAUGUUCACAAUUUGCUUU
rnacentral:misc_RNA from 1 species